rnacentral:rRNA from 1 species
CCUACGGGAGGCAGCAGUGAGGAAUAUUGGUCAAUGGCCGGGAGGCUGAACCAGCCAAGUCGCGUGAGUGAAGACGGCCCUACGGGUUGUAAACCUCUUUUGUCAGGGAGCAGGGUGCAGGUCGGGACCUGCUGUGAGAGUACCUGAAGAAAAAGCAUCGGCUAACUCCGUGCCAGCAGCCGCGGUAAUACGGGGGAUGCGAGGGUUAUCCGGAUUUAUUGGGGUUAAGGGGUGCGCAGGCGGAGGCACAAGUCAGCGGUAAAAUCGCGGGGCUCAACCCCGCUCCGCCGUUGAAACUGUGUGCCUUGAGUGCGCGAAGGGUAGGCGGAAUGCGUGGUGUAGCGGUGAAAUGCAUAGAUAUCACGCAGAACUCCGAUCGCGAAGGCAGCCUACCGGCGUGCAACUGACGCUCAGGCACGAAAGCGUGGGUAUCGAACAGGAUUAGAUACCCGUGUAGUC